rnacentral:lncRNA from 10 species
GAAAAGCAUAAAAGCAUCAGCAAAGCCUGGACUCUGCUUUUCCUGCUCUAACAUGCCAUCAAAUAGAGACAGAGCACUCGACUGAUGUAGGCAUUCUGUUGUUCGUAUUUGCCGAGUUCAGCUAAGAAUGUCUGAGAUCAACAGGUGGCCUUGCUAAUGGAACAGAUUCACUCAUUGUUUGUGUGUUUAAUGAAUCAUUGAGUUACUGAUCAACAGUGAGCAAUGGAAGCUGUUCAAACAGAAAGGAAGCCCAGCCGUGAGGUGGUGCUGCCAACACACUCCUUUGAAGCUCGGCUGGCCCCUGUGGGGAGUGCAGGAGGCUGGGGGUCUACUCCCUACGGUUCCCAGAGAAAUGGUAGCAAGAAGACGGUGUUAUUUCUAAUUGGAUGAUGAAAGUCAGCCUAGGGGACAGAGACCAAAGGGCCAUACGUAAGAAGAGGAGGAAGUGAAAACAUCUGAAUCAAAGGUUGAGGUAAAACUGAGAGACAGUGUUUGCAGUGAACCAUGCAGUAACCUUCAUCUUGCCCCCUGGUCUUCAGGAAACAAGCAAGUGGGGAAGGACCGAAAGAGGGAGACCAGCACCUUACUGUGAGGACAGCUGUGUUGCUCUGGUUCUGCAGAUUCUGGGCUUCUAGAUCUGAAUAAAGUUUCAGAAAACUCAGACAGCUAAGAAGAAAUACCUGCACAUCAUCUGACAAGAACAUGGAACAGUCUUGGCACCAGGAAGAUACAGAUGUGGCUGACCCAGACUUGCUCCCUAAAGUUCACCCUGAGCUUGUGAUACACAAAAUUUGUUUAAGAGUUCCUGUAGUGAUGUCCUCACCUGUUAUUAGAGUCAUUCGGGCCUCACCUAGAGAAUAGUUGUUGGAAAUCUGUUCUCAGCUUCAUUUGUUCUCUUGGCUUAUUCUCACUUCCAUAUUGCUCUGCCUGUCUAGAUACUUUUUUUAAACUUAUAUAAUGACAACUCAGGACGACUGAUUUUCUAUUCUAUUAUAAGCAGAUUACCAGGUCAGAGACUUAAGCACUUUGUUGCCCCACUAUUUCAUCUGUCAUACGCACUUUGCCCAUUUCUUUUCUAAACAUUGUUAACUGUAUUAGGAUUCUAUCCCUAGGUAGACUGUCCUUUUCCCAAUUUUAUUCUGUUUCGGAUCAUUGUCUUACCAAAUUUAUUAAGUUUAGUUACAUUUUUUUUUUCCUUGGAGGUUUCCCAGACUCAGAAACCUAAAACUGCCUGGGGUGGUCCCAGCUUACGUUUGUAUUCUCAGCAUAAUUAUUACAGAGUUUCCUUUCACUGUCAGAAGAAUCUUGCUUUGGAUGGUAAAUUAUAUGGUCACUCUGCUGGCCUUUCAGACUGACUCGGAACCACCCCACACACCUGACUGAGGGCACCUCAACUUCUUCCAGAACUUCAGUUAGAGACUACAUGUGGUCUUUCCUCCAGGACUAGCUUCUGGUGGUCUGGAAAUGAGUAUCUGACUCCUGGCAGGGGUGCUGUGGCACUGCCUAGGACAUUAAGCUGAGCUUCUUUCUAAGCUAAUGGAGCCCAUGAAGGUUAGAUGAUGAUUACUCUGAUUCUGUGUGUACCUCAUAAAGAUGCAGUGGAGUGGAGCAAUUAAAAACUGGAACUUUGGAGCAGGACUGCUUAAGUUCAAAUCCUGGCUCUGUCACUUUCAUUUUAUAUCAUUUAAUUGGGGCCUAUAAACCCAUGUACAUGUUCUUUAUUAAGAGAUCUUUGAAACAGAAUAUUUAUACAUGCACAGACCCACACUCAUUUAGUUGUACUUGUGAUCUAACAUUUGCAGAUUUCCCAUGUCACAAGAUCUAAUAACAUGGACAUGGCAUGGAUGACUCAGCUCCAAGCCAGUUUGUCAUAUUAUGAUAAUUCAUGGGACAGUAAGCUUGGCAAAAUUUCUCAGCACUAAGACUUCCUCUCCACAAGACAGACACAACAACUAUUCCCCCUCUGGAUGUUCAGUAAAAGCUGAAUUAUGUCAUUCAUUUAUUCACUCACAAAGCAUAUGUUCUUUAUGGAGCUCUCAGCCGUACAGCAUUAAGGGCAGUAAAGAAUCUAAAGAAAAUAAUGUCCAUGCUUAAUCUCAAGUAGUUUGUUACUGAGCUGGAAAUAAUCGAAGUAUGCACACAAAAAUUGAAUGACCAUGCAAGACAAUGAAGCCAAAAAUGCAAGACACUGAAAGUGAAAAGAAAUAUAAUAACUAAAUGUCAGAUGACCUCACAUAAGAUCUAUAGAAGCUUAGAAAAGAGAACCUAGGAAUGAAGACACCAAGAGAGUCAAGACCUAGAAGAAGAUGGAAGCUGUGAAUCUGGGAAGAAAAACAUAAAUUUUAGAUAUGCAUUGAACAUCAGAUUCAGACUAAAUCUAGUAUCUGGCAUCAGCUUCAGCCUUGGCUUCUAGAAAGCCAAACACCUACUUCAGUGUCCUUUUUUAGUAUCCUGGAAGUUGUAAAUGGUCAGUGAUCCUGUGAUUGUGCAGCUUAAAAUCUUAUUUGAUGAGCUCAGCAAUGCUAGGAAGAUGACAAAGCCAUGUCAUUUGGAGUAAUUUUUAAAAUAGAUGUGCCAGCUUUUUAUUCUGAGAAGUAAAUAUGUUAGAAAGGACAAUCCUUAUUAUCAUUUCAUACAAGGAUAUUUGACACCAAAAUAUAGAUAUGACAUGAUCAGAUUUAAUUUUAAUAUCUCAAUAUUCACUUUCAAGUAUGGGGUACUAAAUUUCCAAAUGAUCAGACGUGAAGUUUCAUGGCCCAUAAUGGCUACACAUUUGAAGACUCAAGCAAAUAAAUUAGAAAUAAAGCCUACCAGCAAACCAAAAGAUAAUUACAUGUAAAAGCAAGUCUCCUUGAUUUCUGAUACUUGCACUUAUGAGAAUGAGAAAACAACGAUAGCACAGAGAGAUGGUGGACAUGGAGGACAGGUCCUGUAGGCUCACUUCAUGGGCUUUUUCAUACCCUGACCACUUUCCACGCUGGAUUCAUUUUACUGUAGUGAAACAAUUGGCUGUAGAUAAUGUUAAAAGAUAGGACUUUGGUAACAGGAGAAUUCAUGGAUUCUUGAAAUUCCUGAAUGGAACUGGCUCUCCAGAAGCUACUUGCAGCUCAAAAGAGAAAGAGAGAGAGAAAGCAAGCCAGAGAAACAUUUGAGGUCAUAUAACACUUUGUCUCCAAUGUUCUCAAGGCCUCCCUCUGUGCACAGACCUCACUUUGAAAUUACCACCUGUCACAGGCCUAGCAAAUCCCCUCACCAGAGACCAUGUCUAAUUCUUUGUUUUAAAGGGCACUCGAUGGUUUUCUCCAGAGAAGUCAUCAUCAUCAGUGGCAGCAACAUCCUACUUUAUUUACACAGCUUAGCAUAGGACCAUCCCCACAAUAUAACAAGAAAGAUUUGACCCUGUGGGCUUUUUCCUGUUCUAAAUUUUCUCCUUUUGCUUGGACAAAAGGUCCAUCAUUUCUGAGAAAAAAAAAGGGAGGAUGGGGCUGGGUAAGGAGACUGCCACAGUAACAGCGUAAUGCUAUUAGUCUGAAUUCUCCCAUGACGGAGCCCUCGCUGGGAAAGACAAUUACAGGCAAAAGGGUGAUAACCUCACGAGGCAAUAACCUCCUGAGAGAUCCUGUGCCACAUGUACAGGUUAUUAAUUUCAGGGAAGGAGCCAAACUUCAGGGGCCCUCUCAGAACCGACUCUUUCAAGGUUUGCCCAUCUCUAAUGAGCUGGGUCUUUUUUGCGAUUGUCUAACCACACGAUUUCCUUAAUUCUUAGCUGGUUGCAUAAUGGCAAAGAUAAAUGUGGCUUUUUCCAGCUGCUUCUAAAAUAGGUUCAAGGUUGAAUUAAUAUGAAUGGAAAUACUUUCUGUUCAUGUAAAGGGUUGGAAGAAACCGUAUGUGUGGGAUUUGCUGAUACCUGCUAAAAUGUACACUGUGUGUCCUACAUGGAGGACACAAGACGGGCAGAGGUGGAAUAAUGACUUAUAGGAGCCCCAAAGUCCUAAGACGGUGAAAUUCCACCAAAUUUAUUCCAUUUCAGCAGGAGCUAGAAUAUUCCAAAAUUCAAAAAAAUGGACUUAGUUAUAAAGGAAUCUUUUCAGAAGUCUUGACUCUCAUCACAUACUCAAUGUUAAUUACCAUUUGUGUGUAGAACGGUGUGAAUUAAAACUAAAGAAACAAACAAAAAACUUGCCUUGUUAUUCUGCCAAAGGACCCCAUAAUCUAAUGAGGGAGAAGUGGCACCUGCAGACCAAAGAACACACAAGAUUUCGAAGGUGGUUAUUCCAAGUGAAAACACACAACUGAAAAAGUCCAUGAGGACUGAGUGGAAAUUGACAAGAACAAGGGGAGUUCAUCAGGAACAACUUUUCCAGGAAAACUUGAGGUUCAGAUUUGAGAGGAUAAUAUGGCUGGAUGAAUAGGAGAAAAUAAGCUACUCCAGAGGAAAUGAAGGAAGUUAAGACAUGGAAUCACAAUCCAUUUCACCUCUUUGUUCUUUUCUUUUAACCUUAACUGCAACCUUCCCCAUAGUAAGCAGAGGAAGAGUAGAUAUUGUUUCUGUGGUUAAGUUACAGAAAGUGUGUUGCUUGCUAGGUACUGCAAAGUAUUUUUCUGUUAGUGACAAGCAAAUCAUAUCAAAUUGUUCAAACUCAAUUUCAACUCUUAUAAGAGGAUAGACAUGGGUUUUGAGGAAAUGGUUAUCAUUUGCCUUGUUAUUACCUCAUCUUUGAGCCCCAACAUGUGCCUUUACUACUUAUCCCAGUGAUUCUUUCAAAAAAUUAUUUAAUAAAUCAAAAUAUUCCAUAAGUCAAAAUAUCUUCAGGUUGCGGAUUUACCUUUGACUUUCAUCUUAACCAAUUGUUUAAAAUUCCCCCAUUCUCCUCUCAUCUAUUGUGUAUAAAUUCAGAUUAAAAUGUAGUUAAAUUCAUUAAUGCUCAUUAUUUAUGUGUCUAAGACUGAUACUAAUAAUGACAACCAUGUAUUCGACACUUUCCAAACUGCAGGCCGUAGGCUCAGUCCUUUGUUUUGUUAGUUUAUUUAAUCCUUAUAACAAGACUAACCAGUGCUUCCAAAAUCCCAAUGGAUAUUAAUCUUUGGGAAUUGAAAACAAAAAAAAUUAGAAUCCCCAGAAAAUCUUAGAAAUUUCUGAAAUCAUAAGUUAUUCUGUAUUUUACUAGUAUUUACCAAGAGAGAAGUAAUAUUUAAUAUUUUAGUUGUUUAGCUUUUUUUGGUUUAGUGGGGUUUUUUUUGUGGGUUGGUGGGAUUGUUUUGUUUUGUUGGCUUGUUUUUAUUUUUUAAUAUUUUAUAGUAUUUACAAAGAUGUGGUUUAUAGUUAAUAUUCAAAAAUUAGAAAAUGCCUGCAAAAAUUAUGAGAUAAUGCUAACAAACCUAACAUUUGGACUCCCUAGCAAGAUUAACAACACUACACGAACUGAUAUGUCAAAAUUGCUAAUUUAAGGACUUAUUUUCUUCCAAAUGUGUUAUUUCUUGAAACACCGUUCAUAGGAUUUGUAUAAAGUAUACGAUGCAUAUGAACUUAUAGACAUUUAUUUUAUUUAUAAGAAUGACUCACCCUUAGUCACAGAGAAGAUCACAAACAAGCUCUUAUAACACGGUUAGUUGGUUUUCUAUUACUACAUAACAAAUUACCACAAAUUUAGCAGCUUUAAACAACACAAACAUAUUAUUUCAUGUUUCUGUAGGUCAAGAUCCACAGGGCCAAAAUCUAAAAGUGUCAGCUGAGACUGCAGUUCUCACUGGGAGCUUGGGGUCCUCUCCAAGUUCACUGGAUGCUGGAAGAAUUCAUUUCCUCGAGGCUGCAGGACUUAGAUCCACAUUUUCCUGCUAGCUGCUGGCUGGGAACCACUCUCAGCAACCAAAGGCUGUCCACAGUUUCUUGUCAUGUGGUCCCAUCAGGCAGUUCACACUCGAUAUUUUUCUUUCUUCCAGGCCAGCUGGAGUAUGGCUCUCCGCCUUCCUUUCCAGCACCAGUCAGAAAAAACUCAGGUUUUAAAGGGCUCAGGUGAUAGGUCAGGCCCACCUACCUAAUCUCCCUGUCUUUAGGUAAACUGAUUUGAUUCUUUAAUUGUAUCUCCAAAAUCCCUUUACAGCAGUACUUUUACUGAAUAAGGAAAAGAAGGUGUGUAUUGGCGCUGUGGCUCACGUCUGUAAUGCCAGCACUUUGGGAGGCCCAGGCAGGUGGAUCACUUUGAGCUCAGGAGUUCAAGACCAGCCUGAGCAACACUGUGAAACCCUGGCUCUACUAAAAGUACAAAAAUUAGCAGGGCAUGGUAGGGCGCCUGUAAUCCCAGCUACUCAGCAGGCUGAGGCUGGAGAAUGGCACGAUCCCAGGAGACAGAGGUUGCAGUGAGCUGAGAUCGUGCCACUGCACUCCAGCCUGGGCGACAGAGAGAGAAUCUGUCUCAAACGAACGAACAAACAAACAAACAAACAGAAGGUGUGUGUACACCAGAAGCAUGGAAAUUUGAGGCUGUCUUAAAAUUUUGCCUGCCACACAUAACAAUAGCCAUCAGCCACA